GUGGGGAAUCUUCCACAAUGGACGAAAGUCUGAUGGAGCAACGCCGCGUGAGUGAAAAAGGGUUUCGGCUCGUAAAGCUCUGUUGUCGGGGACGAAUGUGCAGUAUUUGAAUAAAGUACUGCAAUGACGGUACCUGACGAGGAAGCCACGGCUAACUACGUGCCAGCAGCCGCGGUAAUACGUAGGUGGCAAGCGUUGUCCGGAAUUAUUGGGCGUAAAGGGAGCGCAGGCGGGAAGGUAAGUCGGUCUUAAAAGUGCGGGGCUCAACCCCGUGAUGGGAUCGAAACUAUCUUUCUUGAGUGCAGGAGAGGAAAGUGGAAUUCCUAGUGUAGCGGUGAAAUGCGUAGAUAUUAGGAGGAACACCAGUGGCGAAGGCGACUUUCUGGACUGUAACUGACGCUGAGGCUCGAAAGCCAGGGGAGCGAACGGGAUUAGAUACCCUUGUAGUCC
rnacentral:rRNA from 1 species